GAUGAAGAACGCAGCGAAAUGCGAUAAGUAAUGUGAAUUGCAGAAUUCAGUGAAUCAUCGAAUCUUUGAACGCACAUUGCGCCCUCUGGUAUUCCGGGGGGCAUGCCUGUUCGAACGUCAUUAUAACCACUCAAGCUCUCGCUUGGUAUUGGGGUUCGCGGUUCCGCGGCCCCUAAAAUCAGUGGCGGUGCCUGUCGGCUCUACGCGUAGUAAUACUCCUCGCGAUUGAGUCCGGUAGGUCUACUUGCCAGCAACCCCCAAUUUUUACAGGUUGACCUCGGAUCAGGUAGGGAUACCCGCUGAACUUAAGCAUAUCAAUAAGCGGAGGA
rnacentral:misc_RNA from 1 species